ACGCACGCUGGCGGCAUGCCUCACACAUGCACGUCGAACGAGACCUUCGGGUCUAGUGGCGCACGGGUGCGUAACGCGUGGGAACCUGCCCUUAGGUUCGGAAUAACUCCCCGAAAGGGGUGCUAAUACCGGAUAAUGUCUUCGGACCAAAGAUUUAUCGCCUUUGGAUGGGCCCGCGUUGGAUUAGCUAGUUGGUAGGGUAAAAGCCUACCAAGGCGGCGAUCCAUAGCUGGUCUGAGAGGAUGAUCAGCCACACUGGGACUGAGACACGGCCCAGACUCCUACGGGAGGCAGCAGUGGGGAAUAUUGGACAAUGGGCGAAAGCCUGAUCCAGCAAUGCCGCGUGAGUGAUGAAGGCCUUAGGGUUGUAAAGCUCUUUUACCCGGGAUGAUAAUGACAGUACCGGGAGAAUAAGCUCCGGCUAACUCCGUG
rnacentral:rRNA from 1 species